UUCUAGUAGCUCUCUACUACUGUUCGUAGUAGUGUAUGAUUUACAGGUACAUCAAUCGCUUCGUAUACAGGAGAAACUCCUUUGUAUACGGCGGGUUCGUCGGUGUGCCCGGGGAACGAGACAUCCGGGGCGUGACAAUCUAUACUCUUGAUCUUGAUUACAAAACUCCUAUAAUCACUUUUUAAAAAAUAUUCAUUUUCAGCCGUUCAUUUUCAUGUCCACUUGAUGGACAAAAGAAUAAUACCGAAAAAAUAUGAAAUUUAGUUUUU
rnacentral:lncRNA from 1 species